rnacentral:lncRNA from 1 species
UGGCUUAAGACACAACUUUAUUAGGUAGGAUCCUAGAAGUCAGAAGUCCACAAUGGUUUUCACUGGGUUCAAAUCCCCAGUAGGGCUGCCCUUUGUAGUGGCUCUUGCCUUUCCAGCUUCCACAGACCACUGCAUUCCUUGGGAUAUGGCCCUGUCUUCCAUCUUCAAAGCCAGCAGCCAUGUUUAACACCUUCACCUCCUUUGACCCUCCUGACUUAACCCUUUGACAUUGCAGGUCACUUUUGAUGACACUGGGCCCACAUACCUCAAUAAUCCAGAACAACCCUCCCCCCAAUUCAGUCACUGAUUUAAUCACUUCUUUAAAAUCUCUUUUGCUUCUUAAGGUCCCAUCUUCACCGAUUCUGUUAAGGACAUGCCAUAUUUGGGGGGGGGGGUCAUUAUUCUGCCUACAGUGUGUCAUCAAAGAGAUUGGGACACCUGUGUGGCUCAAUGAGUUCCGUGUCCAACUCUUCAUUUCAGCUCAGGCCAUGAGCUCAGGGUAGCGAGACCAAGCCCCACAUCAGGCUCUGUAUCAGGCUCUCCCUCUGGGCACCUGGCUGGCUCAGUGGUUGAGUCCGCCUUCAGCUCAGGUUGUGAUCCUGGGGUGCUGGGAUCCAAUCCUGUCAGGCUCUCUGCAGGGAGCCUGCUUCUCCCUCUGCCUAUGUCUCUCAUGAAUAUUUUUUCUUAAAGGUUUUAUUUAUUCAUGAGCGACACAGAGAGAGGUAGAGACAGGCAGAGGGAGAAGCAGGCUUCCUGUGGUGAGCCCAAUGUGGAAUUCAAUCCCAGGAUUCCUGGGUCAUGACUUGAGCUGAAGGCAGACAAGCCACCCUGGGGUCCCAAUAAAGAAAAUCUUAAAAAAAAAAAAAAAAAAUUCUCUCUCCUCCCUCUGCUCCUUCCCACCUCUCAAUCUCUCAAAAUAAAAAAAGGCGGCAGGGAUCCCUGGGUGGCACAGCGGUUUAGCGCCUGCCUUUGGCCCAGGGCGCGAUCCUGGAGACCCGGGAUCGAAUCCCACGUCGGGCUCCCGGUGCAUGGAGCCUGCUUCUCCCUCUGCCUGUGUCUCUGCCUCUCUCUCUCUCUCUGUGACUAUCAUAAAUAAAUAAAAAUUAAAAAAAAAAAAAGUUAAAAAAAAGGCGGGGGGGGGGGGAAUCCCUGGGUGGCUCAGCGAUUUAGCACCUGCCUUCGGCCCGGGGCAUGAUCCCAGAGUCCCGGGAUCGAGUCCCACAUCGGGCUCCCUGUGUGGAGUCUGCUUCUCCCUCUGCCUUAUCUCUGCCUCUUUCUGUGUGUCUCUCAUGAAUAAAUAAAUUCUUUAAAAGAAAAAGGGUGAACCCAGGAGGACGCUGUGAGGGGAAGAUGGGAGUCCGUUCUGGCCAGGUGGAGGCCCCAGGUGCUGGUGGCAGUCUCAAGGGAACUGCUACCUAUUCACCAAACACUAAGCCCCUCCCACAAGCCAGUCAUUGGGGUUAUAAAGGUGGCAGCUGUACUGCUUUUCCUUUCUUGUUUCUGAAAUCAGGAUGCACCUUUUAAUCAUUGACAUCUCGUAAAUGUAAUUGGCAGGGUUUUCUUCCUCAAUGACACAUAAAGAGUUCUUACAACUGAAGGGAUCUUGGAGUCGGUGAAACCCAAGUCUGGACUGGCACUAGCACAGACCUAAUUAUCACAGAAGUUGGAGACCUUGCUGGAGUACCAAGUAUCCCCACCCUGUCCUUGUCUUUCCUACUUCCCAGUCUGGCUCCUUCCACCUGGGGCUCUGGUGCUCCACAGUCCUGUAACAGACUCCAGCGGAGCCCUGGCCACACCUGUUCACCUCUGCCACCACCGCAGGAUUUGGGAAGAGGCCCCUCGCUUGAGGUGGAACCCAAUCACAGGAGUCCCACCCGAUGGUUUUCCACUCAUCCACACAUUGGAAUCACCUGGAAGCUUUUCAAAGUCCCAACCACCAAGCCACUACCUAGAUCAAUUCAUUCAGAACAUGAGGAGUAAUUUUACAGCCCUGCUGAGACACCAAUGGACAGUCGAGGUAGAAAUGUGGAGGACUCCCCCUAACCUGGUGCAUGAGAGAAGAGGCAUAAGGCAAAACUGGUUAGAGGUGGGAGGUCCAGGUUCAAUGAUACCUGUCUCCUUCCCGACCCCACUCUUCAGAAUCUGAAUUCCUGGAAGUGGAUCAGCUCCCUAGUUAUUGAGAGUUCCUUCAAAGCACUAGCCUCAUACCAGGCACACCACGAGAGCCCAGGGAAUGGAAGCUUCAGGGCCUCAAAGGUGCCAAGAAAGGUCUGGGCAAGAAACCCAUGGGGUCAAGUCAUGCUCAGAUUGCUGUGUGAGCUCCAGGGAGACACUGCCCCUCUUUGUCUGUUCAAUGGUUGGCCCAGGUGGCCUGGAGUUCACACUUCGCCUGAGGAGCUGGAGAUCCCAAGGGGGUGGGGAGGGAGUGGGUACCAGGCUUCCCACUCACCCCCAGCAUAUGUCUCAGCCCUUUUGAAGCCUAAAAAUUUCUACUUCUGAAGCUCCAUCUUA